GACCUGUACGGCUCAAUGGAUAGAGUUUCAGUCUCCGAAGCUGAAGGCUGCAGGUUCGUGUCCUGCCGAGAUCG